GACGAACGCUGGCGGCGUGCUUAACACAUGCAAGUCGAACGGAAAGGCCCUGCUUUUGUGGGGUGCUCGAGUGGCGAACGGGUGAGUAACACGUGAGUAACCUGCCCUUGACUUUGGGAUAACUUCAGGAAACUGGGGCUAAUAACGGAUAGGAGCUCCUGCUGCAUGGUGGGGGUUGGAAAGUUUCGGCAGUUGGGGAUGGACGCGCGGCUUAUCAGCUUGUUGGUGGGGUAGUGGCUUACCAAGGCGUUGACGGGUAGCCGGCCUGAGAGGGUGACCGGCCACAUUGGGACUGAGAUACGGCCGAGACUCCUACGGGAGGCAGCAGUGGGGAAUAUUCCACAAUGGGCGGAAGCCUGAUGCAGCAACGCCGCGUGCGGGAUGACGGCCUUCGGGUUGUAAACCGCUUUCGCCUGUGACGAAGCGUGAGUGACGGUAAUGUGUAAAGAAGCACCGGCUAACUACGUG
rnacentral:rRNA from 1 species